rnacentral:rRNA from 1 species
AAGUGGCGCACGGGUGAGUAACGCGUGGGUGACCUACCCCUGUAUCUGGGAUAACACUUCGAAAGGGGUGCUAAUACCGGAUACGAUCUUGAGGGGGGACCCUUGAGAUGAAAGUCGGCCACUCUAUAGAAGCUGAUGUACAGGGAUGGGCCCGCGUCCUAUCAGCUAGUUGGUGAGGUAACGGCUCACCAAGGCGACGACGGGUAGCUGGUCUGAGAGGAUGAUCAGCCACACUGGCACUGGAACACGGGCCAGACUCCUACGGGAGGCAGCAGUGAGGAAUUUUGCGCAAUGGCCGCAAGGCUGACGCAGCAACGCCGCGUGGGUGAAGAAGGCCUUCGGGUCGUAAAGCCCUUUUUUUUUGGUAAGAAGUGCUGCAUGCUUAACAGGCGUGUAGUUUGACGGUACCACCAGAGGAAGCACCGGCUAACUCCGUGCCAGCAGCCGCGGUAAUACGGAGGGUGCGAGCGUUAUUCGGAAUUACUGGGCGUAAAGGGCGCGUAGGCGGCAAGGC